UACAGAGGGUGCAAGCGUUGCUCGGAUUUACUGGGCGUAAAGCGUACGCAGACGGCCACGCAGGUCGGGUGUGAAAGCCCCGGGCUCAACCCGGGAAUUGCAUUCGAAACCAUGUGGCUCGAGUGUGGGAGAGGGUAGUGGAAUUCCUGGUGUAGAGGUGAAAUUCGUAGAUAUCAGGAGGAACACCGGCGGCGAAGGCGGCUACCUGGUCCACAACUGACGUCAGGUACGAAAGCGUGGGGAGCAAACAGG
rnacentral:rRNA from 1 species